UCUUCCUGAUCAAUUAAUGAAGACAGAUCAUUGCAAUCAAUAAUUUCUUUCUUCCCCAUUUCAUUUAUGAUAACAUGGUAUCAGAGCAAAAGUGAUUCAUUCUUUUGUUCUUGAUUUUUUUCUUCGAAUUUGCUCUCUGCUUUUGUUUGAUUUCUUCAUCUUCAAUGGCUAAAACAGGAUUCAAUUCAGCUAUUGAUCAUUCAAGUCCCUAUUUCAUAGGUUCUUCUAAUCAUCCAAUUUUUUUGCUUGUUAACACUCCAUUUGAUGGAAAUGGAUUCAAUUCGUGGAAACGAUCUGUAAUCAUCUCUCUAUCAGCGAAGAACAAGUUAGGGUUCGUUGAUGGCACUAUUUCGAAGUCGCUCACUACUUCAACCAAUUAUCCAAAUUGGUACUGGGUCAACUGUAUUGUGAUUAGCUGGCUUGUAAAUUCACUGUCGAAAAACAUCGCUAAAAGAAUUUUGUUCUUACAAACUGCUUCUGAAAUCUGGAAUGAGCUGAAUCAACGCUAUGAGCAGUCCAAUGGAGAUCUUAUUUAUCAAAUUCAACAAUAAAUCUUCUCUAUAUCUCAGGGAUCUGAAAAUUUCUCAUCAUAUUUCACUAAGCUGACAAAAGUUUGGGAUGAACUUCGACUUGUUCGUAAAUUUCCUCCAUGCUCAUGUGAAUCUGUUGCUGCUAUUCAUAAAUUUCUUGAAGAACAACACCUAAUCCAACUUUUGAGGGGAUUAAAUGAUAGCUACAAGAUUCUUCAUGGCCAGAUCUUGAUGAUGAAGCCUCUUCCUAAUGUUUUAACUGCUUAUUCCUUAAUCAUUCAAGAAGAACAGCAAAGAUGUAUCAAUAAUCAUUCUCAGAUCAAUCUUGAUUCCAUAGCUAUGCAUGUUUCAUCAGAUGUUCAACAUACCAAGAAACAAUUAGUUUGUAAUCACUGUAAGAAGAAUGGCCAUACGAAGUCUCAGUGUUACAUAUUAAUUAUAUUUCCUUCUAACUUCAAGUUUACAAAGACAAAGAAGGAAGAAUCUAAAUCCAUGGCUCAAAAUGUUACUGUUAAGCCUGAUAUUGGAAUUACUGAAGUUAAAUACAAUCAUCUUCUUCAUUUGCUUAAUGCUAGCUACAUUGCUUCUUCUUCCACAAGUCAAGUGAAUAAUUCAGUGAAAAUCGAUGCUAUGGAGAAAGAAGGUAAAAAGUUUUCUUUAAACAUUUUGCAUCAAAUGUUUACAAGUCAUCCAAUAUGCUAAAAUGUCAUUUGUCAUGGAUUGUUGAUACUAGUGCAACUGAUCAUAUGUGUUCUAAUAAAGAACUUUUUUCUACAUUUCACAAAUUACAUCAGUGUCACAUGAUUGGAUUUCCUGAUGGACAUGAUACUUCAGUUGAAUUCUAUGGAGAUGUUCAAAUCCAUGAUUCUAUUGUUCUUCAUCAAGUGUUGACCCUUUGAUGAAGAGUAAAAUUGCAGUUGGAAUCUUAGGGAAUCGCAUCAAUGAUCUAUAUGUUUUUCAUCAUCAUUCAAUUAAGUCUAAUUUGUCUUUUAGUAUGUCUGUGUUCAAACAAUUUGAUUAUUCGAAUAAAUGUAAAUCCAUUUCUGAUGUAAUGGUUUGGCAUAAUCGUUUUGGACAUACAUCAAUUGAAACUCUCAAGAAUCUUUCACUUGUUA